rnacentral:rRNA from 1 species
GACGAACGCUGGCGGCGUGCUUAACACAUGCAAGUCGAACGGUAAGGCCCUUCGGGGUACACGAGUGGCGAACGGGUGAGUAACACGUGGGUGAUCUGCCCUGCACUUCGGGAUAAGCCUGGGAAACUGGGUCUAAUACCGGAUAGGACCCUGGGAUGCAUGUCCUGGGGUGGAAAGCUUUUGCGGUGUGGGAUGGGCCCGCGGCCUAUCAGCUUGUUGGUGGGGUGAUGGCCUACCAAGGCGACGACGGGUAGCCGGCCUGAGAGGGUGACCGGCCACACUGGGACUGAGAUACGGCCCAGACUCCUGCGGGAGGCAGCGGUGGGGAAUAUUGCACAAUGGGCGCAAGCCUGAUGCAGCGACGCCGCGUGAGGGAUGACGGCCUUCGGGUUGUAAACCUCUUUCAGCACCGACGAAGCGCAAGUGACGGUAGGUGCAGAAGAAGGACCGGCCAACUACGUGCCAGCAGCCGCGGUAA